UAUAUUGGGUGUACCAUUUGACCAAAUGUCAACAAAAUCAAGAUACAGUAUGUUACACGAAGAUGAAAAUUCUCACGUGCUCCAGGCAGUCAUCUUAACAUGGUAUAUUUAUGUAAUGUCUCUGAUUGGAAAGUUAAAUCAAGUAUGCUCUCUGGAGACAAACACAUAGCAGCAAGUGUCAUUGAAAAGUUAAAAAUGUGUUUUAAGAAAGCUGAUUAGUUCUGAGAAGAGUCUGCUUUUUGUCUUGCCUCUCAACAGAUAUAUCCAUGUGAUAAAAAAUAGUGGUACAAUGAAAUUGCAUAUUUGCUUAGCGACAUGAUACAUACUUGCAAUGAGCACGGUGCCUUUGUUUACUAUAAAAAGCAACAGCCCAUGCUUGGUUAGGUUAGGCCCACUACAACAUGCAGGCAUGGGUGAUUGGCGCUUUUUUUAUUUCUGUGUCGUGAGGUUUAUUGACGUGCGUAUAGGUGCAGUGGCGCGCAGUAUGGCUAGUACAAAAGGGGGGGGGGGCAGAUAUAUGUAGCUCACUGUACACGACACAGGGCAAAGGAAAUCAGUGUUCAGCAACUAUGUUAAAUGCCAUGUACGUAAAUUUUACAACGCUACUCGUUCGAAGCGCGCACAGGUGCAUAUUGAAGAAAAGUUUCCAGGGUAGAUAAUUUAGUUCGUAAUUUACACUAAUUUUGCUCUAACCACGAGACAUAAUAAUUUGAAUAUACUGCACGGAAAAACCUAGAGCGAAUUAAAUUGUGUGUCAGCUUCGUGUGUAUACAUAUAGUCUUUCCUAUGCAUUAGGUUUUUUGCGUAAUGCAUUAACAGUUGACAGCCUAUAUUAUGAUGUGUACUCUGUUUACAUUACAGUUGUUUAUUAGUUCACUCGUUUGUUUUGCGACUGAUGAAAUGCCGGCAUAUAUAUAUUUUCAACAUUUGACAUAACCCUGUAUGCCUUGCAGGGACAACCCAGCACGUGCAUUUCUCAGCACCCAGUCAACUGCCAAAAGUGACUCAAACACAGGCCACCAGUGGAACUCGGCUGUACCACUGCAGUGCUGCGGAAAUUGCCUUCACCAGCGGCUUUGCAACAGCUGUUUCGCAGCGUGUCGAAGUGAGCCCGAUACCACUUGGAAGUUACCAUGACAGAUGACACGGCAGCAAUAGAUACAGAGACUGCCAUGUCUACUGCAGCUGCAACAGUGUACGAGGCAAGCAGCAGCGCGUCAGCAUCAGCAGCAGUGUCAGAAGGAACCACACCAGGCCUGGUAGAGCAACAUGUGUGCUAUCACUGACUUUUUUUGUAGUGGAUACAACUCAUUUGCUCAACAUACAAAAGCUUUUCACCACGACUGUGAGCCAGUGUUAUUGUGCAGCAAGUGCAAGACUAAGUUAGGUGUUAUAACACAGUACAAGCAUCACUUUAAUAUAUGCAAAUGCAAACAUAUUACAGUUGUUGCCUCCCCAGCCAGCCCACAUAGUGACAACAAUGUGGAACACAUGGUGGGACACACCUCUCCCCCAUUACAAGAUAGUAGAGACUGUCAGUGUUGUUGCUAGAUUGACUGGUCUUUGUAGGCAACUAGAAGGACAACACAGGUGUCAUAAGAUUGUUGUUGAUGUUGUUGUUGAAGAGGUAAAAAAGAAGUUUGAUGCAGGUGAAGUGCCAACUGAUAUUGAGCAAAUCAAAAGCAACCACCUGAGAAAGCAACACUAUCGAAAUUUGGGUAUCUAUGUGCUGCCAACUCUGGUAAGAAUGGCAUAGGACAGAAGUGUGAUGAAAAUCACACAGACACUGCUGUUGCAUCACUGGCCACAGUGAGCAGCGACUUGUAGGGCAAGAGAGUCAACUGAAACUAACAUUAUGAUAUAGUGUCAUGCUCCCAUGUGACCACUUUUCAAGUUAUUUUGCAAGGUACAGCUCAACCUCCAGAAACGAGACUGCAACUUGUCUGUAAAAAAGCUUUCACAAAAAAUUAUUCAUAACACUAUUAACAUAGCAGUAUCUUUUUUUUUGUGUCGGUUCGAGGUUCCCAGCUGUCCAUUAAUGCAAAAAUUGAGGAAAAAAAGAACAUGUGUCGUACUUACACCUUUUUAACAAGUACGAGGGGGACAGAACUUUUCUAGUCAUGCAUCUUCAUCAUACUAUCAAGUUUUUAAAUGCCUUUUAUAAUUAUUAUUACCAGUUAUAUCUGAGUGCAUUGUAUGCAUGUAGCAGGUGUAAAAUCAGGUCAGUUGGUUCAGAUGCCUUAUCUGCAAGCGAGCCCUAUAUUCAAGAAAUUUGAAUUAAAAUAGUUACGUUAGAGACGCAGUCUUUCAGCACUUUAUUGCCUGUGGUUUAAGCAUUGCUCAAUACUUUUGUGGGUGGCAAUUUCAACCAGCACAGCACUGCGCUUUGCCACAGUCACAUUUGUCUUCAAAGCGGUGUUUACCAUUUGUGUUGAUCUGUUUGUGUAUGCAUAGAGCAAGUUUCUAAUUUAUAUUUUUCUGUAUUCUUGUGCUUGCACUAAGCUUGUAUAAGGCAGUUACAAAAUGUGCGUCACUAUAACGAACUGUUCUGUUGAGCUUACACUUGCAAAUAAUCGUGUUCAGAUGGCCGCACUUCUAUGCGGGUGCACCGCUAGCUUUGUGUAUGUUCUCAUGUUUGUAUAAAGCUUAUAUAAGCUAGUUAGAAAAUGUAUGUCACUAAGCAUUGUGAUAUUCUUUAAAGAACUGCUUGGUUGGUUUUACACUUGUGAAUUAGUAUUGAGGCGGUGAUAUUCCCAUGUAUGCCCACUGCUAGCUUUCUGUGUCCUCACGUGUUUGUAUUAAGUUUCUACAAGGGAGUUACAGCAUGUACGUCACUAAGCGCUGCGAUAUCUUUUAAAGAACUGCUUUGUUGGUUUUACACCUGUGAGUAAUAGUACUCGGGUGGCACUAGUCAUGUGUAGGUACAAAGGGACCAUUUGUAUACAUUAUGCUCAUGUAAAGCAGUUACAAAGUGUAUGUCACUAAUUACUGUGAUAUUUGUUGAAUUGCUGUGAUGGUUUUACACAUGUGAAUAAUAGUGGUCAGGACACAGUACUUGCGGUGUAUAGUUGAAUUUAUACACUGCCAAGACAUGGGCUGUAUACGUACCAAAAGAAAUGUAUGUCAUUAUAUUGUUGUGAUUAUUACUGUUUGGAUUUUAUUAAACUGUAAUAAAAUUG